GUCCCCGUAGCCCAAUUGGAUAGAGCGCUGGCCUCCGAAGCCAGAGGUUGCAGGUUCGAAUCCUGCCGGGGACG
rnacentral:tRNA from 1 species